rnacentral:piRNA from 1 species
UGCAAAGUCAUUGGGAUUCUCUCCUUCAGC